CCUACGGGGGGCAGCAGUGGGGGAUAUUGGACAAUGGGGGAAACCCUGAUCCAGCGACGCCGCGUGAGUGAAGAAGUAUUUCGGUAUGUAAAGCUCUGUCAGCAGGGAAGAAAGAGAUGACGGUACAUGACCAAGAAGCCCCGGCGAACUACGUGCCAGCAGCCGCGGUAAUACGUGGGCGGCAAGCGUUAUCCGGAAUUACUGGGUGUAAAGGGGGCGUAGACGGUGAUGCAAGUCUGGAGUGAAAGGCGGGGGCCCAACCCCCGGACUGCUCUGGAAACUGUGUAACUGGAGUGCAGGAGAGGCAAGCGGAAUUCCUGGUGUAGCGGUGAAAUGCGUAGAUAUUAGGAGGAACACCAGUGGCGAAGGCGGCCUACUGGACUGUAACUGACGUUGAGGCUCGAAAGCGUGGGGAGCAAACAGGAUUAGAUACCCCAGUAGUC
rnacentral:rRNA from 1 species